GCCUGCGUCGCGUCGCGCCGGGUGCCAUGCCCCGCCGCCCAAGGCCCCAAGCCGGCGCCCCUCCACUCCCCUGCGUAAGCACAGCCACGGUUCAUCCAGAUGUGCGUACGUGAUGUAGAUGAGCCAAGGUAGAAGAUGCUCUUAUUUACGGAAUUGCCACUGGACAAGAUUAGUCGUAGUUUAAUUGUUUGAAUUCCGAUUUAAGUCGUUCCAGUUGCGUUAGAUUCAUGUCGUCGUGUUCUACGCAGUAGUGUAAAUAUUUAUUAUGUGACUCAUUUAUACAUUUAUUGAUUUAAAUGUAAUUUGUUUAAUAUUUAUUUAAUAAAGUUCUAAUUAAAAGCCAUCUAGGUUUGUAAUUUGGUUCUCGUUGUAUUGCGAUCAUGUCGGUGUAAACUACGUGUUAGAGACGUUGUUUUUCAUGUCUCAUAUUUUUUGAAUAUGGUUAAUUUGUUUAAUUUUUAUUGAGUGUCCUUUUUAAUUAAUUAAAAACAUUUAGGGUUUACACUCUAGUUUUUUUUAUAGUCAAAUAUUAACUUGAUUAAUAUUAACUUAAGUGUUUCUUGAUUAUAGUUUAUUUAGUUAAACAUGAAGUAUGUAAUUAAUUUGGUUAAUAUUUAUCUAUUGCCCCUUGUAAUUAAAAGCAAGUUAGGUCUUUCAUAAGUUAACUAUAAUAUGAUUAAUACCAACAUUAAUACCUUUCUAAUAUAACCCAGUUCAACCUCGAGCCAUCAAUGCUUUUGUUAGUUUUUGUCGCAUGUUUUAUGUUUCCAAAUCAUAAAUAAGGUUUGUAAAGAUUCUUUCUAAAUAAAACAUAAUUUGAUUAAUGAUUGCACAUAUUUGUUUCUCAAAUAAAAGUAACAUAUAAAAAUAUUGACCUUUUAUAAUUACUUGUCAACUUAAAUGUGUAUUUAUCAAUUAUUUUGCCUUGUUCAAAUAUGAUCAUAUAAAGUUAUUUUAGAUGAAUGUGAUUAGUAUUUAUUCAAUGCCUUUUCGAAUUUGAAGUAGUUUAGGUUUAUCUCCGAUCUUUCAUAAAUCAUAUUAAUUAUACAAUAUCAACAUAAAUGCCUUGUUAGUUAUGACUUGCUCCGUUAACUUUGAAAAUAAAUAGUGAUUCUAAUUAAGUUGCUAUCACUCGUUUUAUAUUCUCUAAGCUAUGAAUGCUAAAAUAGUUUAAAUAAUUUCUAUAAUUAUUUAUAAAUAGAGUAUGACUAGAACUAUACUUCAUCUUUUUAUAAUUAUAAUUUAUUUAAUUCCACUUUUUGAGUUGUUUCUCUAAAAAGUCUAUCACCUCUUUUUAUCAAAUAAAAUAGAUCAAGCAAAUAAUUGAUCUUCUUCGUUGCACUUCGAACCUCGAAAGCCGUGUUCGUUUAACGAAUAGUUCCGUUCUCAAUCGUUCUUGUGUGACCACGAUCGUAGCAACAAGCCGUGUCGUUUAGUCCACUCUCUUUCAAACUUUUUCUUUUGGAUGAUGUAUGUCCUUAGUCGUGUUUGUUUGUUUGUCUGUUUAUGUUGCUUGGUUGCUACGAGUAGAAGCGUGGUUUGUUAGCGCCGAAGACCAAGAGCUGAGGACCGACAGUUGCAGCAGAAGAUGGAGAUCUGGAAGAUAAAUGCCAAAGAAUUCUGAGCUGUUAUACACUGGGAAUUAAGGCAAGUGCAGACACCGUUUGAUCAUUUUGAACCUACUCAUUAAUGUCAUUAACUUUACAUGCAUGUGUCCAAUGAAUGCAAACCCUAAGGACAUGACUACUUUUACUGGAUCUUUGGUCACUGCGGUGAUAGCGAUGUUGGAUGCUUACGAGCAUCGUGAUGAUGGUGGUGACACGGGGAGCGGGUACUGUUGGUGGUCCGGUUUGCCGGACGUACCCGUCUCUGCUCUCCGUAAGAACUUAGUCAGGGAGCGGCCCCCUGGGACUUACAGUGCAGCUCCAAGCUAUAUGGCUCUGGCUUGACUAAUUAUCAGGACCUCCGCUGGUAGGGUGUUACUUUCCGGGUAGGCGUAAGGAAGUAGCUUGGGUAUUUAUAUUAAGAGGUCGGUCAGUUCGGGGUCCCAUUGCUAUGGGCACGGCUGCCGCGCGCCCCGGCAAAAACUUACGAGUGGCAUCCUAUUAGUUGGACCCUGUGAAAGGUCUCGUAGUGAGACCCUGCCUGCUCACCUUGGCAGUGUUUUGGGGAGUCAUGACCCCAGGCAAAUGGGAAUCACGACUUGGAGUGAACGUGCACACCUCUGCAGAGUGUAAAACUGAUAUAUCAGCCGUGCUCACGGUCACGAGCGGCCCAGACCCUCAUUUGAUGAGCAAAUUGGAUUCCCUGGAUACUUGGAGAUGGAACUUAGCGAGGUUGCUACCUCGUGUUUUGGUGGAAUGGCUAUUCCGUGUUGGCAGGAUUGCUAUCCUGUGUUAAUAAUUGGGGUUAAUCUCUGGACUACUAUAAUUAUUACGAUAGUCAUUUAAAAUAUACUAAUUACUUCUUACACUAAUUAAGGGUUGGGUUUAUGCUACUCAUAAUUAGUAGUAGGUUGUUCCAAUAAUAGUCAUAAUUAAAAGUGAUCAACUAAAAUGCUACCGCAGUCAAACCAAGUCAGCUUUACCUUGUUUUAAGCCUUGCAUGUCAUUACUUUCCGUCUGUGCUUGCUGAGUUCGACAUGAACUCACCCUUGCUAUUUCCCCCACACCCCUAGUGUGUAGUAAAGUGCUGCUUAGAAGAAGGAUAAAGAUGUCAUGAAGUUUUCUAGAAGUAUAUCAGAAGUGCUUGGUGUACGGAGCCCCCAGUCAACCGUCCCUGAGAAGAAUGGAGCCUAAGAAGUUUAGCUACUGUUUCCGCGUACUCUGAUGUUUGUAAGUGUUAUUAUAAAUAUGUUUUCCGCUAUAUAUAACAUUGUUUCUGAUAUUUCUAUUCUUAUGUUAUACGUGUGGACUUCCUGGACACACAUAUGACGACUCUGGUCUUAUUUUAAAAGCUAUGGUGUGACAGUCCCCUAGUUGACUUUCCUUAAGGGGGGUAUCCCAAUUAAAGAACUACAAGGAGAAGAAGUGGUUAAUGACUAGAACAUCGAUAAGGACAUCAAGUGUUUGGUUUUGGCUCAAGAUAUCAUCCCAUUUAGAGAAUAUUAAUGGAGAUAUAUGUCAUGGCUGAUACUCAUAGAUUGAGAGUGAUGCUUAUGAGGAUCAGAUGACUCCAAAGCUUACAAAGUUGUAUGUACAAUAUGAGAGUGGAACAACUUAACUAUGAUAAAGGUACCGAUAAUUGGAACUUAGUGAGGGACGUAACCUUGGAUUAAGAGACUCGGUACAAGCAAACUUAAAAGACUAUGAUGUGUAGCGUUCAAAAAGGAUAGGAGAACUAGUCCUUACUAUGCCCCAAUCAAUCUUGUUUUAAGGGGGGCAGUACCGUGAUAUCACAGGAUGAUGCAUUUUGAAGUGAUAAUUGUCUUCUGAGAUAUUCUAUGGCUACGAUCAACUAUUUAUGCUGAGAUACUGACAUUGGUCACUUGAUGACGGGGAGUGUAGUAUCCCAUGGAUUAGGAGCAUAAUAGGACACCACUCAUGGAUAUGUGGGAAGCGCAUGAUCAUCUUGCCUUUGAAGAAAGAUGCUAUAAGUAUGAUAAAGCUGAGUACUAUCAAAAUAACAAUACAACAGAGCAAGUUGACAUUGAAUCAAAUCAGAAUCCACAACGACGGAAGUGUAAAAGGAAAACUUUACUGUAAACCUCAUUGUGCUAGAGUCACUCAACAUUCCUUUGGUUCUUGGCAAUGGAUGGUUAUGUGCACACAAGGCAGUGAUCUAUGCUACCCAGUGGAAAAUUUUCUUAACCGCACCAUCAGGGAAAAGAGUUGAGUGUCAAGGUGGUCCACUCCUACCUGAGGAGGCAUAUCCAUGCUAAGCUACCAUGUCUUUGAGUUGUAUAAAAAAAAGUUAGUAGUCAAGAUGGACUUUGAUCAAUUAUGAAUAAUAGACAUUCUAUGGAAUAUUUGAGUUUGUCUUGGUAUACAAGUUGUGAAGUUGAAAGAGUUAUCAAGAUCUUUAUCCUGUGUUCUCUCAAAGGAUCCGUGUCUUUUCCGAAUCUCGAGGACGAGAUUCAUUUUAAGGGGGUAGAUUUGUAACACCCUAAAAAUUUGUUCUUUUUGAAAUAGGUGAAAAAGAUUUAAUUUUGUAUUUUUGUGUUCAUGAAAUAUAGAGAAAUAAUAUUUUUUUUAUUAAAUUAAAAAAUUAUCAUAGGAGUUUAGCAAUAUGUUUGAGAAUUCAUGCCUUUGCAUUUGAUUUAUUGAUGUGUGUGUGUUUGACAAAAGUUCAAAAUAUUUCAAACAGAUUUAAAAAGGAUUUUGAAAUGAGUUUGAAAUGGAUCUUAAAUAAAACAAAGAAAAAAACAAACAAAAGAAAAAAAAGAAAACAACUUUCCCCCUCAUUCUGGCUGAAGGCCCAAACCCUCCUCUCCCCCUUUCUCUCCUCCCGCCCCGGCCCAACCUGCGGCCCAGCCAACCAGGCUAGGCGCGCGUGCCUCCCUUCCCCUCUUCUUCGGCUGACCAGCAGGCCCCACCUUCUUUCUCUCCUUGUCUCGCUGACGCGCGGACCCCGCCUGGCAGCGGGCGCCUCCUUCUUCCACCUGCCGUGUUCGAGGCGGACACUCGUGGGUGGCAACCGAAGCCUCCCCAAUCCCGCAAACACUGGGAUUUGCUUACCUUCCGUGUCAACCACGCCCAAUAAUAGCCGAGGCUCAACCCCGCGACACCCUUUCGCACCCAAUUCGUGUAAUCUGUGCCCUAGCCGCCGCCUUCCUCAGGUUUCUGGAUCUCGCCGAGGUUGAGUCAAGCCCCCACCGCCGCGCGCUCCUCCUACUCCCUUUCGGACCGAACCAAGCACAUAGACGAGAUCGCGGUGAGCUCCUCCCCCGCCUGGUGUUUUCCUUUUGUUCUCUAGCGUACGGAAAUGUGAGAUCCGAUGUCUCCGGCGAGCUCGGCUCACCCAGCCAUGGCGCCGCCGCGUCAGACCUUUCUCCGGCGGCCGGCCGGCUGGUGUCUCCCUCCUGGAAUCGUUGCGAGCCGUCGGAUCCCAAAUCAACGCGCGAGAUUAGAAGAUACCUGUUCGCUGGCGUUUUUCUUAAAGAGCCCCUACGUUUUCUAGGUUUCAAACCCACAGUCCAACACGCCAUCUCACUUUACGUUUUCUGACUUUGAAAGCGUACUUCAUGUCAGGUUGUUUCAAAAAUACGUUUUCAAUAUUUGCAGAUUUGCCACUGAACUUAAAUUGCUUAUAAAAUAUUCAUUUUAACUCUGUUUUUGUCCAUUCAAAUUUUGUUAGAUUCGUAAUUACGAGCUCUACAUGUUAGAAGUAUUAGUUUACUGUUUUGAAACUUUUUAAUUUUGUGACUUUAAUUAAUUAAUUUCUUUUCUAUAUAAAAUCUUGGAAAAUUCAUAUCGUCUACGUUUUAACUCCGAUUUACUUGAUCUUUACGUCUAUGAAAUCGUAGCGAUGCGUAGAAUCAUUUUAUAAACUUUUCAUACUGUUUUUAUAUGAUUGGUGUACUGUUCUAAUUGUAGCUUUGUUUGCUUCGUGUGUGUUUGUCUCCGGAUGAUUGUGUGUGGUUGAUCAAUGAUCGAGUUUAGUCAGUGAGUAAUUCGUGGUGAUAAAGAGUACUUCAGUGAUCAAGAUCAGAGCUUGGACAACUAGUAAGACCAGCAGGAUCAGCAAGCGCAAUUGGAUCAAGGAAAGUAUAGCAUUUGGAUUUUAUUUCUGUGACCAUGAUCCUGUGACUAGAUUAAUGUUAAGUAAUGAAUAAUAAAAAUGACUUUUUAGCAACUUGAUGAUUUGUCUGUACGUGAUCACCCGGGACAAUAGUGCAACCAUGAGGGCUAUAAUUGCUCUGACUUUAGUUAAGUAUGAGUAACUUUUCUGGCUCGUUAGCGGUUACCCAUGUGGCGCAAUUGGGGAAUAGCAGACCGUGGAUUCCUACGGGUGAAUCACAUGGACUGACUAAUGAAACCAAGCGGCCCUAACUUGUUAGACGAACCUUUGAAAGACUUCAUAUUGAUCCCUGCCGACCUCCCUAGGAAGGGGGUUAAGAGAUUAGCUACCUCGGGCGAAAGGGUAAAUCAUGACUCAUGGGUAAAGAUGUGCAACCUCUGCAGAGGGUUAAAAACUAGUAUACUAGCUGAGCUCACGGUCAGGAGCGGCCUUGGGGACAUCUACAUUAAGGGCGAUGAUUCUUGUGUGUUAAAUAUGCUCAUUGAUUAUUGUUUAAUGCUUUACAUUAUUUAUGUCACAUUGAUCAUGAGAUUGUUGGAGCUAUACAAUCUAGUUGCUAUACUUGUGGAGUUCGACAUGGACUCACUCUUGCUAUUUCCCCCAAACCUCAGGAGAAGUUUAGGCUUGUGAUCAACCAGUGAGUGGAGUUAAUACCCGAAGUUGGAGU
rnacentral:lncRNA from 1 species